AAUAAGGCUGCCAUGGAUGCCUGUAACUGCACCGCCGGAUGGGAACCCCAGCAAGCAAGAGUCAGUUUACGACACUGCUCUGUGAAGGAUGUGAAAACAUGUUACGAUCAAGUACAGUGGGAAGCCAGGAUGGG